rnacentral:rRNA from 2 species
AUGGGGUGACUGCGUACCUUUUGUAUAAUGGGUCAGCGACUUAUAUUCUGUAGCAAGGUUAACCGAAUAGGGGAGCCGAAGGGAAACCGAGUCUUAACUGGGCGUUAAGUUGCAGGGUAUAGACCCGAAACCCGGUGAUCUAGCCAUGGGCAGGUUGAAGGUUGGGUAACACUAACUGGAGGACCGAACCGACUAAUGUUGAAAAAUUAGCGGAUGACUUGUGGCUGGGGGUGAAAGGCCAAUCAAACCGGGAGAUAGCUGGUUCUCCCCGAAAGCUAUUUAGGUAGCGCCUCGUGAAUUCAUCUCCGGGGGUAGAGCACUGUUUCGGCUAGGGGGCCAUCCCGGCUUACCAACCCGAUGCAAACUGCGAAUACCGGAGAAUGUUAUCACGGGAGACACACGGCGGGUGCUAACGUCCGUCGUGAAGAGGGAAACAACCCAGACCGCCAGCUAAGGUCCCAAAGUCAUGGUUAAGUGGGAAACGAUGUGGGAAGGCUCAGACAGCCAGGAUGUUGGCUUAGAAGCAGCCAUCAUUUAAAGAAAGCGUAAUAGCUCACUGGUCGAGUCGGCCUGCGCGGAAGAUGUAACGGGGCUAAACCAUGCACCGAAGCUGCGGCAGCGACACUAAGUGUUGUUGGGUAGGGGAGCGUUCUGUAAGCCUGUGAAGGUGUGCUGUGAGGCAUGCUGGAGGUAUCAGAAGUGCGAAUGCUGACAUAAGUAACGAUAAAGCGGGUGAAAAGCCCGCUCGCCGGAAGACCAAGGGUUCCUGUCCAACGUUAAUCGGGGCAGGGUGAGUCGACCCCUAAGGCGAGGCCGAAAGGCGUAGUCGAUGGGAAACAGGUUAAUAUUCCUGUACCAGGUGUUACUGCGAAGGGGGGACGGAGAAGGCUAUGUUGGCCGGGCGACGGUUGUCCCGGUUUAAGCGUGUAGGUGUGUGUUCCAGGUAAAUCCGGUUCACUUUAACACUGAGGCGUGAUGACGAGGCACUACGGUGCUGAAG